rnacentral:lncRNA from 1 species
CACACUUGGUCCUCGCCGGUGGGUCCCCGGCCGGCCCGGGAGCGGCGCCACUGCCACCUACACCUCCGAUGCCAAGCUAGAGGCGUACAGUGCCAGAUUUUAGCAUAUUUUCCAGCCAUACGCCGCCACGAGUUUUCCCAUUCCGCGACACUGGCCAAGAGCCUCGCUCAUGAGUUGGAAUCAUGGCACUUGGAUCGGCCAUUGGACGCGAGCCGUCACCGGCCAUCUUAGCACUUGACCACUGCUUAUACAUAUGCAAAACACAAGAGAGUAUAGCACUCCAUGGUGCUGGUGUUUUUGUCCUUCGCUACCUCAACGGUGUGACAUCCACAG